rnacentral:lncRNA from 1 species
CUGUGAGUCUUCCGCGAAGACAGCCUGUGGCUCACUCCCGCCCGUUUGGCGUAUUUGGAGACUGAGGCCCGGGGGGCUCCUGCAGCAACUGGAGCUGCGGGGCUGGUUGCCACCUUCCUCCUCCCACACCCGGCAGUCACCGGGAGGCCUCGGGGACUGCGUGAGGACGGGGGUGCGAGGCGCCCCUCGCCGGGGUUGGGGUUCCUGGCUCCCAGGCUGCGCGGGUCCACGUGCCCCGGCCCUGUGGAAACCUGUGGCACUCGCGGGGCCACGGCGGAAGGUCCGAAGGCGGGAGGCUUGCUGUGUCCCCGCACUGGCCUCGGCGCCCCGGCGGCCGCAGUGACGCGCGGGCUCAUACCUGGGCCCGGAGCAGACGCCGGGGAGCUGGCCGCAGAUGAAGCAAAGGAGGAGGUGGCCUGGGGACCCCGGGCCCUGCCCUCCCUCUUGGGGAACAAGCACUUUGGUGCCUCUGCAGACUGCAAUGUUAUCUUGGAUUCCUCCAGUGAUGGGGAGCUCACUACUACACCAGGCAUCCCAGGACAGAGUUCACCUCUCUGGAUAUCCUGCCCCACUCUGUCUCCAACAUGGUUGCUCUGCCCGCUCUCUCUGUUGGGAGACUCUAGGUGGGCUAAAGCUGGAGAAUCACACUGCAAGAUGCCAGGGUGUUCUGCAGGGUGGCGCUGCCUCCACCAGAGUCAGUACUUCCUCCUCACGCUCAGGGCUUAGUCCAAACACUCAACCUCUAAGACCUGUGGCAGGAAGAACUCAUACCCUUAAAGACUUCUCUGGGGGGUGAGGUGGGGAUAGGACCCUGCUGUCCCCUCUGCCUGGCCCUGUUUCCUUCUUCCCCAGACCCCUACCCAAAGCCUACCCUCUGGCUGGUCACACCACAGGACCUGGAGCACGCCACAGGAAUUAUUACGGCUAUGCUGACUGCAUGGGCCCUGGGAGAAGCCCCCACCUCCCAGCUCAGGGUGGCCCUGCCCUGCCUUCUGGGCCUGGGCUGGGGUCUGGGGUCAUUCGGGAAGCCGGUGGCCAGUGGUGAGGGUCCCAGCGGCUUGCCUGCACUACACAGUGGCUUAGGAAAUUACAGUUGAGUUCCGUGAACUCCAGGGAGUUUGCUCACAGUCGUCUGAUUUCUGGUCCUUUUAAAGCAUCACCUGUUUCCCCUUAUAUUCACUCCGGCCUCAGUUUCCCCAUCUCCUGCCAGCCCUCCAAACCUCAGAUGAAAGCCUAGAGCUGC